rnacentral:rRNA from 1 species
GCCGGAGAAGGCUUGGAAUUUGGAGGUUUUUGCUGGCCUCCCUGGAAGCCAGCUCCUCUUAAACGAAUUAGUGGGGUCCGCUUUGCUUCGAUCCUUGACGUGAUAAGAUGCUUCUACGUCUCGGUCCUUGCUCGGGAACCCGCUUCUAACCGUCUCUUAGGAGACUCUUUACACAACCUUGACCUCAAAUCGGGUGAGACUACCCGCUGAACUUAAGCAUAUCAAUAAGCGGAGGAAAAGAAACUAACAAGGAUUCCCCUAGUAACUGCGAGUGAAGCGGGAAAAGCUCAAAUUUAAAAUCUGGUGGUCUUUGGCCAUCCGAGUUGUAAUUUAGAGAAGCGUCUCCGCG